GAUGAACGCUAGCUACAGGCUUAACACAUGCAAGUCGCGGGGCAGCAUGGGGGUUGCUUGCAAUCCCCGAUGGCGACCGGCGCACGGGUGAGUAACGCGUAUCCAACCUGCCCUUCACCACGGGAUAACCCGGCGAAAGUCGGACUAAUACCGUAUGUUGUCCAUUGACGGCAUCCGAUUUGUACGAAAGGCUUGUCGUUGAGGGAUGGGGAUGCGUCCGAUUAGCCAGACGGCGGGGUAACGGCCCACCGUGGCUACGAUCGGUAGGGGUUCUGAGAGGAAGGUCCCCCACACUGGAACGGAGACACGGUCCAGACUCCUACGGGAGGCAGCAGUGAGGAAUAGUGGUCAAUGGGCGUAAGCCUGAACCAGCCAAGUAGCGUGCAGGAGGACGGCCCUAUGGGUUGUAAACUGCUUUUAUGCGGGGAUAAAGUGGCCCACGUGUGGGCUUUUGCAGGUACCGCAUGAAUAAGGACCGGCUAAUUCCGUG
rnacentral:rRNA from 1 species